CCUACGGGAGGCAGCAGUGGGGAAUAUUGCACAAUGGGGGAAACCCUGAUGCAGCGACGCCGCGUGCGCGAUGACGUAUUUCGGUAUGUAAAGCUCUAUCAGUAGGGAAGAAAAUGGCGUUACCUGACGAGGUAUCCACGGCUCACUACGUGCCAGCAGCCGCGGUAAUACGUAGGGGGCAAGCGUUAUCCGGAUUUACUGGGUGUAAAGGGAGCGUAGGCGGUCCUGCAAGCCUGUUGUGAAACGCCCGGGCUCAACCCGGGGAUUGCAGUGGGAACUGGAGGGCUUGAGUGUCCGAGAGGCAGGCGGAAUUCCUAGUGUAGCGGUGAAAUGCGUAGAUAUGAGGAGGAACACCGGUGGCGAAGGCGGCCUGCUGGAGGAUAACUGACGCUGAUGCUCGAAAGCGUGGGGAGCGAACAGGAUUAGAUACCCGGGUAGUC
rnacentral:rRNA from 1 species